rnacentral:tmRNA from 1 species
UGAAAACUUUAGUUUUGCCGCUAUAAUAAAGAUGUCAGGCAACUGACUAUGACACUAGAGGCAGUAUGAAAUAGAUAUGUUGGACCUGGGGGCAGUACCCAGCACCUCCACCAAAUUUUGUAAAACAGAUGUUUUGUUUUAUAAAAGUUUGGAGUUUGAGUCGAAUAAUAGGCGUCAAGGGCGAGAAAAAUUUUAGUGUACACAGAAGUACAUGAAUUUUUCGAGACCCGCAGACAACGCAUUAGUCGACCAAAACACAAACUUUUAUCGGGGGUGAAACAGGAUUGACAGCGUAUAAUAAAGAUAUGUUUGCCGUGUUCGGUGAGAUACCACCGUUAUCGGUUCAAAUUAAAUAAAUGCUAACGAUAAUAACGUAGCACCUGUUGCUCUCGCUGCAUAAGGCAAGACAACAAACGCAAAAUCCUUUUAACUAUGGUUAGUUGAAAGUGGGGUCUGGGCCGCCUAGCAACAGAAGGCC